AGAAGCAUCAUAGUAUCUACAAAUUGAGUCCAUGGAUGUAGAAUCUGACUGUUGCUGUUAUUUGAAGGGGCAUUUUCUUCGUACUUCACCCUAGAAGAAGGCAAAAAUUCAAAGGGGGAAGGAGCUGGGGCUAUAGAUAUAUGUGUACAUAAAGCAAUAAUGCAAUUUGGUACAUCCUAGCUAUGUAUCAGCCGAAUUGCAGUUUCAAGGAAAUGAGACUUCAGAAUCUUCCCCUUCUUACUCGAGCCCAUGUUAUGGCGGCCAUGGCAGCCCCACCCAAAUGAGCAGAUCCAGAUACUAGAGUGUCACCCUCAUAUAUUCUUAAGACGUCUUUUCCAACCAUGAAGAUCCCCAGUAAGAUUGCUGGGACAGGAAUCACCAAGUUAAAAUAGACAAUUUUUGUAGGGAACAGGAAUAUAUCAAGCAGCAUCACAGCAUUUACAGCCCCACUUGCACCCAAUCCAAGAGUUUGUGAUGGAUGCAUGCUCAGAAGUUGUCCUCUUUGUGUCUG
rnacentral:misc_RNA from 1 species